GUCCCUGUAUCGCAAUGGAUGGCGCGUUGGACUUCGAAUCCAACCGUCGUGGAUUCGAAUCCCGCCUGAGAUG